UACAUAGGAAUCUACCCAGUAGUGGGGAGUAACUUGGAGAAAUACCAUGCUAAUACCGCAUAUGCCCUACGGGCGAAAGCAGGGGACCCGUCGGGCCGUUGCGCUAUUGGAUGAGCCUAUGUCGGAUUAGCUAGUUGGUGGGGUAACGGCCUACCAAGGCAACGAUCCGUAGCUGGUCUGAGAGGAUGAUCAGCCACACUGGGACUGAGACACGGCCCAGACUCCUACGGGAGGCAGCAGUGGGGAAUAUUGCACAAUGGGCGCAAGCCUGAUGCAGCAAUGCCGCGUGUGUGAAGAAGG
rnacentral:rRNA from 1 species